GUAUUGCCCACACGAAGAACUUCAGUGCUUUUCAGAGCUGGAUAUACCCUAAUUACUAAUGCCGACUAAGGAGUUUUGCCGAACUGAAACUCUGCUCACUUCAACCAGCAAAGCCUCAGGCAAACCAGGGCAAGUGGUUGCCUUGCACUCACCUUUUCUGGAGUACCCAGAACAGAGGGAUUUCCUUGUUUUGUUUAAAUGUUGUCUCUCAGCAAAAGAGGAAAGGGAAUGAUCCUGGGACAUACUUUGUUACUGAGUGCUUUCCACAGAGCCUCCUGGCACCUACCUAGUGAAGAACUAAUGCCUGUUGACAAAAGAUAAGCAUAAACCUACC
rnacentral:lncRNA from 1 species